rnacentral:rRNA from 1 species
UAGAGUUUGAUCAUGGCUCAGAUUGAACGCUGGCGGCAGGCCUAACACAUGCAAGUCGAGCGGUAACAGGGGUAGCUUGCUACCCGCUGACGAGCGGCGGACGGGUGAGUAAUGCAUGGGUAUCUGCCCGGUAGUGGGGGAUAACUCGGGGAAACCCGAGCUAAUACCGCAUACGUCCUACGGGAGAAAGCAGGGGAUCUUCGGACCUUGCGCUAUCGGAUGAGCCCAUGUCGGAUUAGCUUGUUGGUGAGGUAAUGGCUCACCAAGGCCGCGAUCCGUAGCUGGUCUGAGAGGAUGAUCAGCCACACCGGGACUGAGACACGGCCCGGACUCCUACGGGAGGCAGCAGUGGGGAAUAUUGGACAAUGGGGGAAACCCUGAUCCAGCCAUGCCGCGUGUGUGAAGAAGGCCUUCGGGUUGUAAAGCACUUUCAGUGGGGAAGAAGGCAUGGUGGUUAAUAACCACCAUGAAGGACAUCACCCACAGAAGAAGCACCGGCUAACUCCGUGCCAGCAGCCGCGGUAAUACGGAGGGUGCAAGCGUUAAUCGGAAUUACUGGGCGUAAAGGGCGCGUAGGCGGCUUGCCAAGCCGGAUGUGAAAGCCCCGGGCUCAACCCGGGAACGGCAUUCGGAACUGGCAGGCUAGAGUGCAGGAGAGGAAGGUGGAAUUCCCGGUGUAGCGGUGAAAUGCGUAGAGAUCGGGAGGAAUACCAGUGGCGAAGGCGGCCUUCUGGACUGACACUGACGCUGAGGCGCGAAAGCGUGGGUAGCAAACAGGAUUAGAUACCCUGGUAGUCCACGCCGUAAACGAUGUCGACCAGCCGUUGGACCCCUUGAGGGUUUGGUGGCGCAGUUAACGCAAUAAGUCGACCGCCUGGGGAGUACGGCCGCAAGGCUAAAACUCAAAUGAAUUGACGGGGGCCCGCACAAGCGGUGGAGCAUGUGGUUUAAUUCGAUGCAACGCGAAGAACCUUACCUGCUCUUGACAUCCUGCGAAUCUCCCAGAGAUGGGAGAGUGCCUUCGGGAGCGCAGAGACAGGUGCUGCAUGGCUGUCGUCAGCUCGUGUUGUGAAAUGUUGGGUUAAGUCCCGUAACGAGCGCAACCCCUAUCCCUUUUUGCCAGCGGUCCGGCCGGGAACUUCAGGGAGACUGCCGGUGACAAACCGGAGGAAGGUGGGGACGACGUCAAGUCAUCAUGGCCCUUACGAGCAGGGCUACACACGUGCUACAAUGGCCGGUACAAAGGGUUGCGAAGCGGCGACGUGAAGCCAAUCCCAUAAAGCCGGCCUCAGUCCGGAUCGGAGUCUGCAACUCGACUCCGUGAAGUCGGAAUCGCUAGUAAUCGUGGAUCAGAAUGCCACGGUGAAUACGUUCCCGGGCCUUGUACACACCGCCCGUCACACCAUGGGAGUGGACUGCACCAGAAGUGGUUAGCUUAACCUUCGGGAGAGCGAUCACCACGGUGUGGUUCAUGACUG